UACAAUUGUUCUAGUGGAUUUCUAUGAAGAGUUGAAAGGUGUUUCCAAUGCUGUGUUUCAUUAAGAUAUGAUCAAACCACUAGAUGCAACAUUAUAAAAGGGUAACAACCAAGGCCUGAACAAAAAGUAAGCAAAGAAUACAAGUAAAAUGCAUUAAAACUGAGAAUGGAGUGAUGGUUUCUUAAGAAAAAAUAAAGCUAAUCUUUAGUAUGGGAAAUUAUGUGGGAUCAACUACUUGUUUAGACCAGUGUAUAAAAAAACAUCUGAAGCUUGGAAAUUGGUAGUUUUACAAAUAUCUAAAUCAAGAAUGUGACAGGGCUGCAGAUGGAAAAAACUCUGAAAUAAUAUAAAGGUUCAACAACAAGCAAGAUGUAAGAAGUGAAGAAACUUUAACCAUCAAGAAAGUUAAACCAAAGUUGAAUUAUAAUUCGUCAUCAAUUGACAUCCUCCUAAUAACUCAUAACAACAACCAGGCAGCUAUUCUGUUUCUCUCAUAACUUAUAAUGACAAUCUACUCUUUCUUUCAUAACUCAUAAUGAUACUCAGCGAUUAUGAUUCUCUCAUAAUUGAUAACAAUGAUCAAACUAUUCUAUGCAUUAGAUGUAUUACUAUAUAAAACAAAUGUGUGAUUCAUAUAAGUGAUGCAAUAUAAAUCAAGAUAAAUUAUUGUUAUUCUAAAACUAUAUGAAAUACUACUG